rnacentral:sRNA from 1 species
AAAAGAGACUCAUAAAGCUGUAGGGGGUUGGGGGGGCACUGGCACAGGUGUAGAAAAUGAAGCAUGAAGGUCCCCUGACUUGCCCAAGGUCCCCCAACUUGGGAUCCUUUUCAGGAGGAGCCCAGCAGCGCCUCUUCCCCUGGUCCUCGUCCCUGGAGCCGAGGGUCAGAGGAUGGUCCUGGGGCCCAAGCAGCCCUGUGUGGCUUCCUGGGGGUGUGCAUCAGCCCCGUCCCUCCCCAAGGAGGCGGGCAUGUGCUGGAGGGCGGGCAUGUCUGAGGGCCCUGUCUCCAUAGCACGAAGGUGGAGCAGGUUCGGGCCCACCUGGGCACUGCAUCCCUCCUGGGCCUGGGCGGAAGCCCAGUGAAGAUCGGGCUGCGGCGGGUGGUGCUGCACCCACUCUACAACCCUGGCAUCCUGGACUUCGACCUGGCUGUCCUGGAGCUGGCCAGCCCCCUGGCCUUCAACAAAUACAUCCAGCCUGUCUGCCUGCCCCUGGCCAUCCAGAAGUUCCCUGUGGGCCGGAAGUGCAUGAUCUCCGGAUGGGGAAAUACGCAAGAAGGAAAUGCCACCAAGCCCGAGCUCCUGCAGAA